rnacentral:rRNA from 1 species
ACGCUCGACACCUACGGGAGCAGCAGUGGGGAAUAUUGCACAAUGGGGGAAACCCUGAUGCAGCGACGCCGCGUGAAGGAUGAAGUAUUUCGGUAUGUAAACUUCUAUCAGCAGGGAAGAAAGUGACGGUACCUGACUAAGAAGCCCCGGCUAACUACGUGCCACAGCCGCGGUAAUCUGAGCGGGCUGGCAAGGC